rnacentral:rRNA from 1 species
AACGAACGCUGGCGGCAUGCCUAACACAUGCAAGUCGAACGAGACCUUCGGGACUAGUGGCGCAUGGGUGCGUAACGCGUGGGAACCUGCCCUUAGGUUCGGAAUAACUCCCCGAAAGGGGUGCUAAUACCGGAUAAUGUCUUCGGACCAAAGAUUUAUCGCCUUUGGAUGGGCCCGCGUUGGAUUAGCUAGUUGGUAGGGUAAAAGCCUACCAAGGCGACGAUCCAUAGCUGGGUUGAGAGGAUGAUCAGCCACACUGGGACUGAGACGCGGCCCAGACUCCUACGGGAGGCAGCAGUGGGGGAUAUUGGACAAUGGGCGAAAGCCUGAUCCAGCAAUGCCGCGUGAGUGAUGAAGGCCUUAGAGUUGUAAAGCUCUUUUACCCGGGAUGAUAAUGACAGUACCGGGAGAAUAAGCUCCGGCUAACUCCGUG